rnacentral:rRNA from 1 species
AUGAGCAAGGCUCUCUGCCCAAGGUACCAAGGACUGUCUGCAUAUGAGAAAGAGUACCUGGCAAUACUUGUCGCGGUGGACCAAUGGAGACCUUACCUGCAACACGCUGAAUUUCUGAUCCUCACCGAUCAACGCAGUCUCGUGCACUUGGAGGAGCAGAGGCUGACCACACCAUGGCAACAAAAGGCCUUCACGAAGCUAUUGGGGUUGCGAUACUGCAUCAAAUACAAGAAGGGUUCCGACAAUUCAGCUGCGGAUGCUCUUUCUCGACAUUCGUCCUGA